UGAGGGAGUGAGCAAAACCCGGUGACGUGAUUCUUCAAAUUCCUGGUUUUCUCUCUCUAUAAAUACACGUAUGUGUAAGUAUGUAUUAUUAUAAUGUUGUGAGAUCUGUUUGUUUCUUAGAUUAGAUCUAUGGUGGUUGACAUGUUAUGUUCAAUCGUUUGCAGCUACUGACCUUUUGAUUUUUUGGUUUUUGGUUUUUUUUUUUUUAAUGGAAUAAUUUUUUUGGUGGGGUGGAGUCACUGGAGGCAGCGGUUCAUCGAUCUCUUCCUGAGAUUUGUUGUGAAAAUACAAAACAUGAAUCGGUCGAUAAACCUCUGCAUCCAGCGCUCACUCUCUCAUUCUUGUGUUUUUCUUUUUUCUUGUAUUUCUGAACUUGCUCUGUUUGAAGUUUGAUGUUGUACGAGCCUCUAACCGGGACCCAGAAGGCAAAAAGUCUGUUAAUUUAUUUCUAGAAGGUGGUCAAAAGUUUGAACUUGUUUCUUUCUCUUUUAAUGGAUAAAGUUCCUUGGAAUGAAAGUCUCCAUUUGGGAGACAUAACGUCAUUACUGCAUGAUUCAUGAACGUGAGGGGAAAUUACAGUUAUGGAGUAGCAAGUUGCCAGAGAAUCUUGUAUGUCUGAUGUUACUUCUAGAAUCUGGUAUCAAAUUCCUUGUACCAUAUUUAGAACUAGUAAAGCAGAAACAAUCGUAUGGGAACCAAUCAGAUUGUGGAAUAGGUAGGAGGUGGACAGGACAAUGUUUAUAAGCUGUGGAUAUUCUCUUCAGCUCCCUAUUUUGAUUCAUUGCCUUGUAAUUUUAUCGAGUAAUAUAAAUUGUUUGCGGUUUUUUUUUCCCUCUCCGCCA